UGAGUGGCAGACGGGUGAGUAACGCGUGGGAAUAUACCCUGUAGUACGGAAUAACUCAGGGAAACUUGGGCUAAUACCGUAUACGCCCUUAGGGGGAAAGAUUUAUCGCCGAAGGAUGGGCCCGCGUUGGAUUAGCUAGUUGGUGGGGUAACGGCUCACCAAGGCGACGAUCCAUAGCUGGUCUGAGAGGAUGAUCAGCCACACUGGGACUGAGACACGGCCCAGACUCCUACGGGAGGCAGCAGUGGGGAAUAUUGGACAAUGGGGGCAAGCCCUGAUCCAGCCAUGCCGCGUGAGUGAUGAAGGCCUUAGGGUUGUAAAGCUCUUUCGUUGGGGAAGAUAAUGACGGUAC
rnacentral:rRNA from 1 species